UACGGGGGGGGGCAAGCGUUGUUCGGAAUUACUGGGCGUAAAGGGCUCGUAGGCGGCCAACUAAGUCAGACGUGAAAUCCCCAGGCUCAACCUGGGAACUGCGUCUGAUACUGGAUGGCUUGAAUCCGGGAGAGGGAUGCAGAAUUCCAGGUGUAGCGGUGAAAUGCGUAGAUAUCUAGAGGAACACCGGUGGCGAAGGCGGCAUCCUGGACCGACACUGACGCUGAGGCGCGAAAGCUAGGGUAGCAAACGGG
rnacentral:rRNA from 1 species